rnacentral:rRNA from 1 species
UCGCCUACAUGAAGCUGGAGUUGCUAGUAAUCGCGAAUCAGCAUGUCGCGGUGAAUACGUUCCCGGGCCUUGUACACACCGCCCGUCACACCAUGAGAGUUGGCAAUACCCAACGUACGUGAUCUAACCCGCAAGGGAGGAAGCGUCCUAAGGUAGGGUCAGCGAUUGGGGUGAAGUCGUAACAAGGUAUC